GAUGAAGAACGUAGCGAAAUGCGAUAAGUAAUGCGAAUUGCAGAAUUCCAGUGAGUCAUCGAAUCUUUGAACGCACAUUGCGCCCGCCAGUAUUCUGGCGGGCAUGCCUGUUCGAGCGUCAUUUCAACCCUCAAGCACAGCUUGGUGUUGGGACUCGCGUUAAUUCGCGUUCCCCAAAUUGAUUGGCGGUCACGUCGAGCUUCCAUAGCGUAGUAGUAAAACCCUCGUUACUGGUAAUCGUCGCGGCCACGCCGUUAAACCCCAACUUCUGAAUGUUGACCUCGGAUCAGGUAGGAAUACCCGCUGAACUUAAGCAUAUCAAUAAGCAGAGGA
rnacentral:misc_RNA from 1 species